rnacentral:rRNA from 1 species
AGUGAACGCUGGCGGUAGGCCUAACACAUGCAAGUCGAACGGCAGCACAGUAAGAGCUUGCUCUUACGGGUGGCGAGUGGCGGACGGGUGAGGAAUACAUCGGAAUCUACUUUUUCGUGGGGGAUAACGUAGGGAAACUUACGCUAAUACCGCAUACGACCUACGGGUGAAAGCAGGGGAUCUUCGGACCUUGCGCGAUUGAAUGAGCCGAUGUCGGAUUAGCUAGUUGGCGGGGUAAAGGCCCACCAAGGCGACGAUCCGUAGCUGGUCUGAGAGGAUGAUCAGCCACACUGGAACUGAGACACGGUCCAGACUCCUACGGGAGGCAGCAGUGGGGAAUAUUGGACAAUGGGCGCAAGCCUGAUCCAGCCAUACCGCGUGGGUGAAGAAGGCCUUCGGGUUGUAAAGCCCCUUUUGUUGGGAAAGAAAAGCAGCAGGUUAAUACCCCGCUGUUCUGACGGUACCCAAAGAAUAAGCACCGGCUAACUUCGUG